rnacentral:rRNA from 1 species
AUGCACGCUGGCGGCGUGCCUCAUCCAUGCAAGUCGCGCGAACGGACGAGAAGCUUGCUUCUCUGAUGUUAGCGGCGGACGGGUGAGUAACACGUGGAUAACCUACCUAUAAGACUGGGAUAACUUCGGGAAACCGGAGCUAAUACCGGAUGAUAUUUUGAACCGCAUGGUUCAAAAGUGAAAGACGGUCUUGCUGUCUCUUAUAGAUGGAUCCGCGCUGCAUUAGCUAGUUGGUAAGGUAACGGCUUACCAAGGCAACGAUGCAUAGCCGACCUGAGAGGGUGAUCGGCCACACUGGAACUGAGACACGGUCCAGACUCCUACGGGAGGCAGCAGUAGGGAAUCUUCCGCAAUGGGCGAAAGCCUGACGGAGCAACGCCGCGUGAGUGAUGAAGGUCUUCGGAUCGUAAAACUCUGUUAUUAGGGAAGAACAUAUGUGUAAGUAACUGUGCACAUCUUGACGGUACCUAAUCAGAAAGCCACGGCUAACUACGUG